AUUUCAGCUUCUAUUGUCAGCUGGUUAACAAACAGCUCUCUGCUAACAGAUGUGCAGCUAUGAUCUCAUCCUUCAUUCAGCACUAAAGGUGGAGCGGAGACCAGACCUUCAUUCAAUACUGAAGGUGGAGCAGAGACCGGACCUUCAUGUAAUAUUUAAGGUGGAGCAGAGACCGGACCUUCAUGCAGUAUUUAAGGUGGAGCAGAGACCGGACCUUCAUGUAAUAUUUAAGGUGGAGCAGAGACCGGACCUUCAUGCAGUAUUUAAGGUGGAGCAGAGGCCGGACCUUCAUGCAGUAUUUAAGGUGG